rnacentral:rRNA from 1 species
GACGAACCGUACGAACGUUACUCGGAAUCACUGGGCUUAAAGGGUGCGUAGGCCGUUCGGUAAGUCGGGUGUGAAAUACCUCAGCUCAACUGAGGAAUUGCGCCCGAAACUGCCGGACUUGAGGGAGACAGAGGUGAGCGGAACUUAGGGUGGAGCGGUGAAAUGCGUUGAUAUCCUAAGGAACACCAGUGGCGAAAGCGGCUCACUGGGUCUCUUCUGACGCUGAGGUACGAAAGCCAGGGGAGCGAACGGG